rnacentral:lncRNA from 12 species
GGGGGGGGGGGGGGGGGGGGGGGGGGGGGGGGGGGGGGGGGCCAAAUUUCCCCGAAUUCUGGGAUUUGGGGCACCUCAUGGCGUUCUUGAGCAGCUCGGGCAGGACGUAGUCCAGGGGCAGGGGGAUGAAGGGGAAGCGCGCGGCCACGUGCCCGUUGAUGCGCACGCGGGGCGCGUUCCCGUACUGGUGCUCGCACAGCCGCCUGCGCAGGUGAGACAGGUGAGGCACGCCUGGGUGACGUCAUCGGCGUGACGUCACGCGCGUGACGUCGCCUGCCCCCCGCCACUCGGUGUCAGUCCCGUCCUGUGGCCGUUGAUGGGCACUGGUGCUCACAGACACACCUGGGACAGGUGUGACACACCUGGGUGACGUCAUCAGCGUCACCUGAGUCACCUGUGUCACACCUGUGUCACCUGAGUCACCCCCUGUCACUCCUGUCCUGUGAUCAUUGGUGUGCACUGGUGCUCACAGACACACCUGGGACAGGUGAGACACACGUGAGACAGGUGAGAUAUGGACAGGUGAGACAUGGACAGGUGAGACACGUGAGGCAAGCACAAGUGAAACAGGUGAGACAGUGACACGUGACACAGGUGUCCCCAGGUGUCCUCAGGUAUGCCCAGGUGUACCCCAGGUGUAUCCCAGCUGUGCCCAGGUGUACUCCAAGUGUAUCCCAGGUGGGUCCAGGUGUGUCCCAGCUGUUCCCAGGUGUUUCCCAGGUGAUCCCAGCUCUGCCCAGGUGUUUCCCAGGUAUGUCCAGGUGUGCCCAGGUGUGUUGCAGCUGUGCCCAGGUGUAUCCCAGGUGUGGCCAGGUGUAUCCCAGGUGUGCCCAGGUGUAUCCCAGGUGUGUCCCAGCUGUGCCCAGGUGUGUUGCAGCUGUGCCCAGGUGUAUCCCAGGUGUGGCCAGGUGUAUCCCAGGUGUGCCCAGGUGUAUCCCAGGUGUGUCCCAGCUGUGCCCCAGGUGUUCCCAGGUGUGUCCCAGCUGUGCCCAGGUGUUUCUCACCGGCGGGAAGUCGCUCAGUUUCUGGAAGGCGCGGAUGUACAGCUCGUGCUGGGGGAGGGGAAAAACAGAAUUUUGGGAUUUCCUGGGAACUUUUGGGGAAUUUUUGGAAUUUUGGGAUUUCCGGAAUUUUGGGAUUUCCUGGGAAUUUUUGGGGAUUUUUUUUUGAAUUUUAUGAUUCCCCAGGAAAUUUUUGGGACUCCCAAAAUUUCAGGAUUUUUGGAAUUUCAGGAUUCGGGGAUUUUUGGAAUUUUGGGAUUUUUGGAAUUUUGGGAUUCUCCAGAGAAUUCUUGGGGUUCUUGGAAUUUCGUGAUUUUUAGAAUUUUAGAAUUUUUUAAAUUUUAAG